rnacentral:snoRNA from 1 species
GCAUAGUGUCCAUGCCAGAGCAAGCUGUGACUCUGAACCAUUGCCUGGCCUCUGCCUAUAGGCUGUUGGCACUAAAGUUGGUUGUACAGUG